UAAUAAUUGCAACACUUUGAC
rnacentral:miRNA from 1 species